AGUGAACGCUGGCGGUAGGCCUAACACAUGCAAGUCGAACGGCAGCACAGUAAGAGCUUGCUCUUACGGGUGGCGAGUGGCGGACGGGUGAGGAAUACAUCGGAAUCUACUUUUUCGUGGGGGAUAACGUAGGGAAACUUACGCUAAUACCGCAUACGACCUACGGGUGAAAGCAGGGGAUCUUCGGACCUUGCGCGAUUGAAUGAGCCGAUGUCGGAUUAGCUAGUUGGCGGGGUAAAGGCCCACCAAGGCGACGAUCCGUAGCUGGUCUGAGAGGAUGAUCAGCAACACUGGAACUGAGACACGGUCCAGACACCUACGGGAGGCAGCAGUGGGGAAUAUUGGACAAUGGGCGCAAGCCUGAUCCAGCCAUACCGCGUGGGUGAAGAAGGCAUUCGGGUUGUAAAGACCUUUUGUUGGGAAAGAAAAGCAGCAGGUUAAUACCCCGCUGUUCUGACGGUACCCAAAGAAUAAGCACCGGCUAACUUCGUG
rnacentral:rRNA from 1 species